rnacentral:misc_RNA from 1 species
UGUUCUGUAUCUCUCUUGUCCAGCUGCAAGAAGCAUACAUGACUUUACAAAAUCAAUCAAGCAGUGCAAAUUAAAAUAAAUUUCUUUUAUAUUCUACAUUAAUUGAUUUUCAAAAGAAGAAAAUUAGAAAGAUCUAGGCAGUAGUCUGAGCAACAAAUAAUUACUAUAAUUAACAUAAAAAAGAAUUGUAAGUUUAAAAGAGUGCAGACUUGCUGUAAUCAAAUGAAUUUUUAAUUUACCUUUUUAUAGAAUUUUUAUUUCAUUAUAUUCCAUUUACAUUCAAUAUCCUAGAAAAAGUGCUGUAAAUACACACGAAUUCAAUUGAAAAUCAUAUACAAACCAGUGUCCCAAAUUGUAAGCUUCAAUUCCUUGCCACCUACUUUUAUAUACUUGAUCUUCAUAUCCACACCAAUGGUGGGAUCAAGCUCUGUAAAAGCAUCAGAAAUGAAACUGAGAAGAAGAGUGCUCUUGCCAACUCCACCAUCACCUACCAUAAUGAUCUUGAAUGAGUGAUCAUACUUCCUGCUUUGCCCUGAAGAUGAUCCCAUAAUUAAUUACUCAAUCCAAGAAAGAAACUUUAGCUCUCAAGCUUUAUCUUUGGAUGGAAA